rnacentral:rRNA from 1 species
UACAGAGACUGCAAGCGUUGUUCGGAUUCAUUGGGCGUAAAGGGUGCGUAGGCGGUGAGGUAAGUUGGAUGUGAAAUCUCAGGGCCUAACCCUGAAAGUGCAUCCAAAACUGCCUUGCUCGAGGACUGGAGGGGAGACUGGAAUUCUCGGUGUAGCGGUGAAAUGCGUAGAUAUCGAGAGGAACACCAGUGGCGAAGGCGGGUCACUGGCCCGAUACUGACGCUGAGGUGCGAAAGCGUGGGGAGCAAACAGG